AUCGCACAGCAGCAAUUUGAUAAAUUAUGUACAACACUUACAAAGGUAAAAUAAGCUGAAAUUUUAAAGUAGUGAAUUUAGCGCUAUGUUAAGCUAACUUAAAGUGAAUUCAUAUAUGAAUCACUCUAUAAGAAGCUGGUCUAAAAUAUCUACGCGUCUAAGCGGUUUCUGAAAGCUAAAUUGGAUUUAAGCUUCGAAAUUGCAACACAAUGAACCACACAGCAACAAUUCGAUGAAUUAUAUACAACAUUCACAAAGGUAAAAUAAGCUGAAAUUUAAAGAAGUGAAUUUAGCGCUAUGUUAAGCUAACUUAAAGAGAAUUCAUGGUGGAAUCACUCUAUAAGAAACCGGUCUAAAAUAUCUACGCGUCUAAGCGGUUUCUGAAAGCUAAAUUGAUUUUAAGUUUCGAAAACGCAAUGCAAUGAGAAUAAAAACAAAUAGUUUAUUAAAAUUUAAUCGAAUAAUCAAUUUAAAUAAAUAAAAAAUAAAUUACUAAUUAAAAAUUUAAUCAAAUAAAAAAAGGGUGCAAAAAAAGAAAAAAAAAUAAGGGUGAAAACAAAUAGAAAAUCGAGCCCAAGGCCCAACAGAUUAAACCCAAUUAAUCGUGAUUCAAUGCAUCCCAAAGAUCAC
rnacentral:lncRNA from 1 species